GUCUUUUUCUGCUAUCAUUGCUUUGAUGGUGUUUUUGUCACUCACGAUACAACUGGUAAGAAUCAACAAUAAAGAUGAACGAGACAAGUGACAAUAUCCGAAAGAAGAAGCUGGUUGUUGGUGUUCGCCAGCAACAAAGACGAAUGAAAUUGGCUGCAGAACAAAUAAUUCAGGAAGUGUUGCUGGAUUGUGGAGACAAGUUUGCUGCUGGUUGCUACCAGUGAUCCCAACACCAUCAACGAUACUCAACCAGUCAUAGCUAUACCUGAAUUGGUAGAUGAUCCAGUUCAACAGCACACACCAGAUAUUAAUAGUAUUGGAGAGAACGUAAUCAAUUUUGUUGAUGGAGCGUGCCCUUAUGCUAGUGAACAUUAUUCAUCUUCCGAGACAA